CCCUUAGAUGUUCUGGGCCGCACACGCGCUACACUGAAGGAGGCAGCGUGUACUCCUGGAUCGAAAGAUUUGGGUAACCCGCGAAUCUCCUUCGUGCUAGGGAUUGAGGUUUGCAAUUAUCCUUCAUGAACGAGGAAUUCCCAGUAAGUGCAAGUCAUAAGCUUGCGCUGACUACGUCCCUGCCCUUUGUACACACCGCCCGUCGCUACUACCGAUUGAAUGAUUUAGUGAGGACUUCGGACUGGGACCGAUGCGGCUUUCGGGCUGCGUCGGUAUUCUGGAAAGAAGUCCAAACUGUAUCAUUUAGAGGAAGUAAAAGUCGUAACA
rnacentral:rRNA from 1 species